UACGUAGGGUGCGAGCGUUAAUCGGAAUUACUGGGCGUAAAGCGUGCGCAGGCGGUGAGUUAAGUCUGCUGUGAAAGCCCCGGGCUCAACCUGGGAAUGGCAGUGGAAACUGGCUCGCUGGAGUAUGGCAGAGGGGGGUGGAAUUCCGCGUGUAGCAGUGAAAUGCGUAGAGAUGCGGAGGAACACCGAUGGCGAAGGCAGCCCCCUGGGCUGAGAUUGACGCUCAGGCACGAAAGCGUGGGGAGCAAACAGG
rnacentral:rRNA from 1 species